rnacentral:misc_RNA from 1 species
UAUUAUGCUUAAACUGAUUUCUUCACGAGGCCUGCACGAUCGGUCCAAUCGUAUCGCAUGUUCUUGUUUGAUUGUUGCUUUAUAAUUGGAUCGUUAGUGUAACCGAUGACAUGAUUUGCAUGGUUAAGCGUAAAACUUUUGUUGCUGACUUGACAUCGUUUCAAUUUUUGAAAAAUGCUGUUGAACGGUGAUGCAUGUGUUUCUAGGUUUGAUGUGUUGUGUGCGUGAUCAGUUGAUGUGUUGUUGUGAUGCRUUGUUGAUGAUGACAUUCGUCCCAAUGGGAUGUGGUGUCAUGUCCCUUGUUUAUCCUGGUUUUAAGCUUGUUGAGCUUAAAAUGCUAGGAUUAUCGGUUAGUGACACGGCAUCGCUCCAUUGGUUGAUGAAUGUCGUCCAAUGCGGUGGUGGUGGUUUGGUUUUGUUCUCGCAUCGUUCGGUGCAUUCUGGGGUCAUUUUGGCUGUUAGCGGUUUGCUUGGCGUUUGAGCUUGGUGGGCGGCUAUAGGCUGUGUGUCUUCGGGGAUGUAUAUCGUAAAGGUGCAUGAGUGGUGUUUGGUGUGUUACGGGUGGUUGGCUCUCUGCUUGCGCAACAACUUCCUCCCGGCAUACCUYUUCAGUCUCGUGUCAAUGCUUGUAUGGCAUUGAAUGCUUGAUGGGUUUCUUGUGUUGCAUACCUAAUUGAUGGUAUCGUUUGAUGAAUUGGUUUCCCUUUUCGUCGUGCGUCGCCCAUGCGAUGUGAGAUGAACCUUGAGGCAGCCCUUGUGAUCCACWAUUUUGAUGCAUACGCAUUGAUUUUGUGGCCCAUUGAGUGUUGCUUGGUCUCAUGGAUAUGGAACCUGGUGUGGGCAUGGAAUUUUARUGGUUCCUUGUUUGCCCAAAUUUAGCUUUUCUAAAACGAUUGUCUAUCGUGUGUUAACAUGAUAGACUAAUUCGUA